rnacentral:sRNA from 7 species
GUAUCUGAAGUCUGACGAGGAUGAGAACCUCCGGGGGCAAGAGGUUCGACUCGAGCGAAGCGAGAGAACGUUGCGUCAGCAACGGCCCGCAGGGCGAGCCACGCAGUGGCGAGUCAUCCUCUGUCACCGGCAG